CCUACGGGUGGCAGCAGUGGGGAAUAUUGGGCAAUGGGCGCAAGCCUGACCCAGCAACGCCGCGUGAAGGAAGAAGGCUUUCGGGUUGUAAACUUCUUUUGACAGGGAAGAGUAGAAGACGGUACCUGCCGAAUAAGCUACGGCUAACUACGUGCCAGCAGCCGCGGUAAUACGUAGGUGGCAAGCGUUGUCCGGAUUUACUGGGUGUAAAGGGCGUGUAGCCGGGUUGACAAGUCAGUUGUGAAAUCCUGCGGCUUAACCGCAGAACUGCAUUUGAAACUGGUGGUCUUGAGUACAGUAGAGGCAGACGGAAUUCCUAGUGUAGCGGUGAAAUGCGUAGAUAUUAGGAAGAACACCAGUGGCGAAGGCAGUCUGCUGGACAGCAACUGACGGUGAGGCGCGAAAGCGUGGGGAGCAAACAGGAUUAGAUACCCGGGUAGUC
rnacentral:rRNA from 1 species